rnacentral:rRNA from 1 species
AUCAGCCUUUUGGGCAUGAUUCUGUGGAGCGUGAGGAGUUAAACGCCUUCAUGCCUGCAUAUUCGUGUACUUUGGGUGUACUUGCCUGUGUGGUUAGUUAACAUCAAUUUUGGUUAUCAUAAAAUGGCUGGAGGAAUGUAGCUUCGAUCUCGUAUUGAAGUGUUAUAGCCUUCGGCAGAUGUGAUGAUCGGGAUUGAGGAUUGCAACGGAUACCCUUCGGGGCUACCUGUCUGAUCUCUGAUCGUUGCUCUGGUGCCGAAAGCGUGCUUACGGUUAUCAAAGUCGAUGGUUAAUAGGUUAGAACGGGUUAAAUUCGUUAAGGAUGUUGACGUAAUGGCUUU